rnacentral:rRNA from 1 species
CCUACGGGUGGCAGCAGUAGGGAAUUUUGCGCAAUGGGCGAAAGCCUGACGCAGCAACGCCGCGUGAUCGAGACGCCCUUCGGGGUGUAAAGAUCUGUCAGUGGGGACGAAACUUGACGGUACCCACAGAAGAAGCACCGGCUAACUCCGUGCCAGCAGCCGCGGUAAUACGGGGGGUGCAAGCGUUGUCCGGAAUCAUUGGGCGUAAAGCGUUCGUAGGCGGCACGUAAAGUCUGGUGUUAAAGGCAGAGGCUCAACUUCUGUACGGCACUGGAUACUUGCGAGCUAGAAUGCGGUAGAGGUAAAGGGAAGUCCUGGUGUAGCGGUGAAAUGCGUAGAUAUCAGGAGGAACAUCGGUGGCGUAAGCGCUUUACUGGGCCGUAAUUGACGCUGAGGAACGAAAGCCAGGGUAGCAAAUGGGAUUAGAUACCCUUGUAGUC